rnacentral:rRNA from 1 species
CGGUGGAGCACGUGGUUUAAUUCGACGCAACGCGAAGAACCUUACCAGGGCUUGACAUCCUCUGACGACAGCAGAGAUGCUGUUUUCCCUUCGGGGACAGAGAGACAGGUGGUGCAUGGUUUGUCGUCAGCUCGUGUCGUGAGAUGUUGGGUUAAGUCCCGCAACGAGCGCAACCCCUAUGGUCAGUUGCCAGCACGUGAAGGUGGGCACUCUGGCGAGACUGCCGUUGACAAAACGGAGGAAGGUGGGGACGACGUCAAAUCAUCAUGCCCCUUAUGUCCUGGGCUACACACGUACUACAAUGGCAACAACAGAGGGCAGCCAUGCCGCGAGGCAGAGCGAAUCCCAAAAUGUUGUCUCAGUUCAGAUUGCAGGCUGCAACUCGCCUGCAUGAAGUCGGAAUUGCUAGUAAUGGCAGGUCAGCAUACUGCCGUGAAUACGUUCCCGGGCCUU